CGUUCUCAGCCAUGAACAAAGAAGAAAAGGUCCUUGAAAUCGACAGGAGACACAACAAUUCUUACACCAGAGACAACAGACCAGACAUGUUCUACUCAUCUCACCUCGUCCUAGAUAACUCAGGCCGGUCUGGACCAGUUUACGCCUUCCCUUUUAGCCCGUCCUCCUCACAUGAAGAGACUGUAAAUCAGUUUUGCACUGUGGAGAACAGUCCUCAGCCACACUCAGCUACUUCUAUAAGGAAGGGAAGUGCUUUCACGGCUAGUUCUAUUGCACUGAGUGAUUGCACCAAAAGUUGCUGCUAUGUGGACCAUCCAAGAUUCAUGGCUUGUACAGAGUCAUCUAGGGCUAAGGCCCGUUCCGCCAGUGCCCCAAAGUCGCGACCUCAGUUGUAUCACGAGCAGUCUUCGUCGAAACGGUUUGGAUUUGUAGAUGUGUCAUAUUGUGGUGAUACGAGGUCUGGUCCGCAGAAAGUUUAUGCACUACACACUAGUUUUAUGAACAAGGCUUAUCCUGGUUCAGGUCGGUUGGACCGGCUUGGGAUGCCAACUGGGUAUAGGUACUGAGAAAUGCUGUUGGACCGGGUUGUUCUAUUUGGUUGGGGUUGUGAUAAAUUGAUAAUAAUCAAAUGUUGAAAAUGAGAACUGGUUAGAUCAGUUGACUAAGCUUUGCUGUUAAUUUUCCUGGUUGUAGUUUGGAGUAAGUGGAUUAAAUCUAAAAUGCAAAUAAAACUUUUUUUUGGAAACUAAAUGCAAACAGAACUUGCUUAAUCAUAGUGUUGAGUUGACAUUUUAAAGCAUUAUUACAAAAGAAAGAAUCCACUCUCUUAAAUAUGAUGCUUACAGCUAUUGCAAUCUUCCACAUAACGGUGAUGAUUAGUUACUUAGCCAUUAAUCAAAAUUUACUUCUACAACUAAAACUUAUGACAUUGACAUAGCUAACUGAAAAUAUUAAAUAACUAUAAUUCAUAAGAUUUGUUUUUAUUAAUGCAACAUAAAAUCAUUAAUAAAAGUUCUCAAAAAUCAAUAUUUUUUUUUAUCAGUUUCAAAUUUCUAUCAAUAGAUAGACAGUCCAUCAAGAAAUAUAUUUCUUGGUUGAGAUAAUAGAAGUCUAAAAACCAAUAAUAAAACACUCUUAAAAAAUUUAUAUUCAUUUGCCUCAGUCUCAAGACAAUGCUGAUGUAAAAAAAAUAAUAUUAAAGCAUAUAAUGUUGGUAUCUAUUAUAUGAACUAUCUUAUAAUCAGAAUGUUUGUGGCAUUUAAAGUUUGAAGGGUACCGAGUAAAUGACAUUGAAUAUUUUAUAGCAGAUUUUAAAGAACAAUAAGAAAAUCUGAUGCAUAAUUUCAAUCGGUAAAAACCGGUGAUGGUUGUUCUCAUGAAGAGUCACGAAGAGCAACUCAGUGACCAAAAGAUGAUUAUGAAAUUGAAGAAAAGAAAAUUAGAAGAUCGAAUGAAGAAACCUUGAAGAAAAAUUUGAGAAACUAAUGUCUCAAAAUGUACAAUAUAAGCCCAUUCUAGGUUGAAAAAAUAUCUGCCUUUAACUAUCAAAAUGGGUUUAGAUGAUGGAUCUUAUCUUUCCGCGUUCUAUUAAAAAUAACUAACAUGUUUAUUUAUGCACAUAGCUAAGUUUUAAACUUGUUAAAGUAACUUUUUCUUCGAUUAGACAUUAAAACUUUAAAAUUGGUUAGUUGAAACUGAUUUAUAUGUUUUUAUAUUCUUUGUCUUUAGCUAUCAAAAUGGGUUUAGUUGAAAUUAAUUUGGUGAAUAUGCUAAAUGAACCUCAUAAGCUGCAAGAGAAAGUAGACUCAAAGGAGGAGAUCAUAACUGAUCAAAAGACUGCUUAUGAUAAGCUAUAAAAGGAUUAUGAGGUAAUUAUUUUUAUCAUUGUCUAGUUAUUCCUUGUCCAAUGAUCUGAUGUUUGUUAAAUGGUUUUUAACAUUGCAGGAAACCAAAACUCAUUUGGUGAAUAGUGAAAAGGAGUUUAAGAACCUACAAGAUGAAGUCCAGUCAAAAUAUAAGACCAUUAAUGAUCAAAAGAUAACACUGGAUAGACAUGUAAUAUGCUCUAUAUAUGCGAUCUUAUGUUGUCAAAUGCUAGUGCUUUAUAGAUAUAAUUUACUGAAGCUCCUUGAUUGAUUUGUGGUUCUUAUUUUGUUUCAAACAUUGCUUGCGAGUGGUUUAGUUGAACACCCCGCUGAUUCACUAGUCCAGAGAAUGGUGAAUACACUUUCUAGGUGGAUCAGAGUUUUAAUAGCUUCAUGCGGUGCUAUCACUAGUUCUGAACUUAGAAUGAUCAUGUACAUCUUGGUGUUUAUAACGUCGUACAUACUGACACGUUCAAACAACUAACUGAAGAUUACUUUUCACGGAGGUGUUUUGAAUUUACUCGAUAUGAUUAUCGCAACAAUGUUGAACAAUAUUGUGACUCACAUUUCCACUAUAAGUUUGAUAGUAUUACAGUUUAUUUUAAAAAACGUUAUUGUAGAGUUGAAUUUGAUAUGAUUACUUUUGCUUUAUAAUAACAAAAAAAAAUACAGAUAUAUGAUGUAGCGUUUUGGUCUAUUGUUGGCCGUGCAUCUACAUCUGUGCCGUGGGUAAUUGUUGGAGGUUUUCUACCACUUGUUAUUGGCGGUUUAUCCACCCAUGGACGACAAGAGCUAUUGUCACUGGAGUUGCUACUCUAGCAUUGAAGAUUGUGUUUGUCAUCGUAUUGAAUUUCAUGUACAACAUUCUCGUGGUUAGUGCAUAAGGUACAAUACUCACAGGUGUGUCAGGAAUUGCGAUAGCAGCUGGUGUUCCCUACUUAAUUGAUUGGAUUGUUAAGCUUUUCAGUAGCUUUUCAUCCCAUGUCACUUUUGGAAGCUUUUAAUAGUAUUGUUAUUUCUUUUGUCAUAAACAAUGCUUACUUGUAAUGCAAUGUAAUAAAUUUAUAUACAGUUUUUUGCUUGAUUUUUAAGAAUUUGUUUGGUUCUUCCAUUCAAAAUUGGAGUUUAGUUUGAUUAAGUUGGAACCAGUUGCGGAGCCAGCCUUAUCGUUUACAAAGGUCAAGUUUAGGAUUGACAUUAUUAUUAUAGGGGUCAAUCAAUUAAUUCUACAAUAUUUUCCAGCUUUUUCAUAAAAAAUAUAAAUAAAUUUAAGAAAAAAAUAAAAAAAAAUACAUGGGUCAUAUGAUCACCGGCUCCGCCACUGGUUGGAACAUGAUAUCUAUAGUAUAGGUUUUAAGUAUCUCACUUCAGUUCAUUUAAAUCAUAUUAGAUUGCAUUUAAGUGUUUAUACUGCAUAUAUAUGUUUAUUUAUGUGUAUUAGGGGUUGUAACGCACAAUAGAGAAUUUUGGGGUAAUAAUCAAGGAUCAAUAUGUCUAUUUUAAAACUUUGGGCCUAGAAUAAAAGAAAUCAAAAGAAGACGGACCGUUAUGAAAUUAUUAGGAGGUCUGGAAAUUACAAGGGAAAGUUUUGGGGUUAAUUCAAAGGGUUAUGUAUGCAAAUCAGAAAGUUUGGGGUCGUAAUGAAUGUAAUAAAAAGAUAGAGGACCAAGCUUGCAAAAUGAAGAACCAGUCAUAAACACAAGUAAUUAUCAAAAUGAUACCCAUCCACUUCGAUAACUACAUAAUCAAAACGACGAUGCAGCGAACGGCGCGAUCCCGUUAGGAGCGAAACAAAAGGAGUAGGGACCACAAAAACGUGAUCAUAAAGUGAAAAAAAGAAAGAAAAAAUCAACCGCCAGACGGGUCCCAUUAAAAGUGGCUUCAGAUCAUAGUAUGCUCCAUGUCUCUGUUCUUUGAAGUCGGUCAUCAUGUAUUAUUUCCUAGAUUCACAAAAUAAAAUCUAACAGAAUUGAAUAGAAUCUUACAUUAUAGAGUUAAGUGGAAAUAUUAGUAGAAGUGAAAAAAGUAAAAAACUCAUGCUUUUUUUAGAUGAAACAGUCACUCAAAUUGAUUUCGGUUCGAUCAAAUUUAGAGUUAACUAGCCUUUAUAUGUUAGAAAUUUAUCCAUUCUUUCAGUUAACAGAACAUCAGCAAAUGCUUUUAUCUAAUAGCAAUUCUGUCAAAUAGAUUUUUUUUUUAUAAUUUUAUGUCACAAAAAUACAUCUCAAAAAUAAAAUGACCAAAAUAGAAUUUUUAAUUUUGAAAAUUUUAAGAUUUUUUAAGUUUUUAAAAUUUGAAAUUAUACCCCCAAAAUUCCACUCUUUAACUCUAAACUCUAAACCCUAAUCAUAAACCUUACACCUUAAAUUCUAAAUCAUAAAUCCAAAAAAUAUACUCCUUAAUAACAUAUUUUGGUCACUUUGAUUUUUAAGAGCUAUAUUUGUGACAAACACUUUUUUAGGUUUAUCCUAUGAAAUUUCUCUUUAUUAUUUAAAUGGGGGGAAGUAAUCCGUUUUAUAAUUUUUUUUUUAUUUUCGAAAAUAAUUACUUACACCAUUAGGUAUAAGGCUGAAGAGUUUUCUCGUGGCGGUGCUGGAGGAGCGGCGAGACAGUGGUACGACGGAUGCGGAAGGGGCCGGCUUUUAGAGCUGGAGUGAAGAACCAGAUUUGAUUUUCCCUUUUCUAGAUCUACGGUAUAACUCCUCCUCGACGGUGGUGCGUGACCCAGUGGAAAGCAUUAUCCGGCUCGAUUCCACCUUCCUGAGCGACGGUGAGAGAUCGGAUGAUUGAAGUGACGUUAGCUGAAGAUGGUCACGUUUCUCGGUUCUCGGGAACGGCGUGACGCAGAGCUUUGUCUUGUCGGAAUGGUCAACUGAAGAGGCGAGCUUUGUAGCGGGUUUGCGGUGAGGUUCAGCUUCCCAGCGUCGGCGACAGUGUCUUUACUUUGUCGAUGGCGGAGUACACACCAUCAGAAGCUUAAAUACCGUCCCGGUCUCAAUGUCUCUGUCAAGGCCCGACUUUUCUUUCAGUACGGACUGGUUCCGUUUACAGGCUAACGAGUGAGGCAUGGUCGCUGGUGAAGCUGUUCUGGUCAGGGCUGCACUGUUACGGUGUCGAUGUGUUGGUUCAUGCACUGAACUCUUAUCUCAUGGUGACUAGCGCUUGUGUUUAAUAUGUUAAUCUUGAUUUAGAAUAGCUAAUAACCGGGCUUAUGCCUUUCACUUUUGUGGUCGAAAGUUAGGGGUGUAAGAGGCAGCUCUUUGUCUUUGACAGAGUUUGUACUCACCGGGUUUAAUUACAUCAAAGUAUAUGAUUUGGUAGUCUAUGAUCCAAUCUAGUGAUCUUGUGAUGAUACUGAAUCACUUUGUAUGUAAAUUUGGUUGAAAAUCCUUGUGGUUAAAAUUAUGUAUUCCCUAUUUGGUUAAUGAAAAGUUUGAUGUUGAGUUAAAAAAAAGAUGAAGAUGAAAUCUAUCUAUAGAAAUAAGCCAAUCGAACAGUUAACAUCAACCAAUACGUAGUAAUUGUAGUUUUGUUCUUAUUUAAUCUGAAACUAAUCUUUUAUUUAACAGAUAACUCUUUAACAACUCUAUUCUCAUCCAUCAUGAUCCACCAACGCCGGGAAAACAAAAGCAUUCGAUCUCUUCAUGCAGCUCCAAGCCUCCAAGCUCGGUUACUCUCGUAAUUUCAAGAUAUUAAUUACACAAUCAUUAGCGUAUGUUCAAAAUAUAAUAGGUUUUUAUGUUUCUCGCUAUUUCAUCUAUGUUAGUUAGGCUUAUACAUUUUACAUUUGUUAUCAUUAUUUGUGAGUCCUAUUACUACUUAAACUAAGAGACUAGAUUACAAUUUUCCGGAGGAACGGUUCUAUGGUAUACAACAACAACAGACCGCUCUCAGCCAUGAACGAAGAAGAAAAGGUCCUUGCAAUCGACAGGAGACACGACAAUUUUACACCAGACGCAACAGACCAGACAUGUUCUACUCAUCCCACCUCGUCCUAGACAACUCAGGCCAGUCUGGACCAGUUUUCACCUUCCCUUUUAGCCCGUCCUCCUCACAUGAAGAGACUGUAAACCAGUUUUUCACUACAGAGAACAGUCCACAGUUACACUCAGCCACUUCUAUAAGCAAGGGCAGUGCUUUCACAGCUAGUUCUAUUGCACCGAGUGAUUGCACCAAAAGCUGCUGCUACGCGGACCAUCCAAGAUUCAUGGUUUGUACAGAGUCAUCUAGGGCUAAGGCCCGCUCCGC
rnacentral:lncRNA from 1 species